AGGUUAGAAAAUAUAUACCAUGUUAAAAGAAAUUUAGAGGUUGAGAUACAAAAGAAUGGUUAAAUAUAUUUUUAGUCUCUAAACUAUCAUGCUAUUUUGAGUUUAGUCCCUCUUCGAAAGGUUUAUUAAUUUUCGUCCUCUUAGUUAGAAAACUCGUAUUUGUAGUCCUUAAAAAGCAACUACGAUUUUCUGUGAGAUGGUUAACGGUGAGCCACGUUACUUUUCCUUUUUCUAAAACGUGGAUCCUUCCUUCCUGCAUCUUCACGCUAAAGCUUCUCUCCCUCCCUUAUUCAUCUCCAUCAUCCUCCAACUCUCUUCAUCGUUGGGUCGCCCCCUCUCCUUCCAUCUCCGACUGGUGGCAAAUGCCCCAUACCGACCAGACCGACACCAACAUCUCCUGCUCCUCUCCAUCACCGACAAGUACCUUUUCCUUCCUCUGUCUUGUUUCUCCCUC
rnacentral:lncRNA from 1 species